rnacentral:rRNA from 1 species
UACGAAGGGUGCAAGCGUUACUCGGAAUUACUGGGCGUAAAGCGUGCGUAGGUGGUUUUUUAAGUCCGUUGUGAAAGCCCUGGGCUCAACCUGGGAAUGGCAGUGGAUACUGGAAAGCUAGAGUGCGGUAGAGGGUAGUGGAAUUCCCGGUGUAGCAGUGAAAUGCGUAGAGAUCGGGAGGAACAUCUGUGGCGAAGGCGGCCACCUGGACCAACACUGACACUGAGGCACGAAAGCGUGGGGAGCAAACAGGG